GUUAGUUUGGUGUGAUUGUCCACCUUUAGAUAUAUUUGUUUUGGAGUUAAAAAACUGUUCUAAAAUAAUCGAGGAAUUCUUAAAUGCAGAUGAAAAAGAUAAAACCGAACACUGUCCCGCCAUGGGUCGGGCUAUAGCCUGCUAUACAAAUCUCAUAGACGAAUGCCAAGACAACAUCGUUAUAUCCAGCCGAAGUGACCAGUUAAAAGAAGAAAUCGAUUUCAAUAGAGAUUCUUACAUAUCGCAUUGCCAAAGUACAGCCAGUAAGCAACAUUUAAACACCUACUUCCACAGAUAUAUAGUGGUGUUAUUACUAAUUCUAUUUAUCAGUUAAUUAUGUUUAUUUUAUGAAGAAUUGUAGUAUACUGGAUCUGCGAAUGUUUUAUUAAUUUUACUCAAUUUCAUAACCUAAUAAUUUAGCGUUAUACCCUAGCCUAUACGUUUUUGUUACCUUCUUAAUGUUAUAAAGUGUUGGUUAUAAUUCCGUACUGUUGAUAUUUAAUAUUUAAAAACAUAUAAGGAAAACGAGAUUUAUUGUGCCCUUUGUGUUAGUUUAACCCGAAUAGAAUGUUUUGUUCUGUUGAUUUUAUUGUAACUUGCCAUUCGAAAAUCAUGGAGGCUACAUCAUGGUCACUUUAAACUCUAUCAACCGAAAACAGUGCUCACAGAAAUAACUAUUGGAAUUUAACCGUGUUCGUUAUACCAUCAUCGCUGUUUUAAUGUUAUUGUUAUGUUCUUCAUCCUUAUUAUGAUCGCGGGUUGACGAUUUAAUGGCCUUCUCGAACAGUAUGCAUGGGAACGAUGGGAACGCGGGAUUAAUAAUUGCCAGACUAAAUAAUCGUUACCGGGUUAUUGCUUUAUAAAUUGAAAGUUCACCUUAGUGUAUACCCAAUCUAAUUAAAAAUAAGGGUCCGUAUUCAAAGGUUUUCUUAAAGUUAAGUGAAAAUAAAUAAAUCGGUUUUCAAAGGCUGUAUUUUACAUAUUCUUGGCAAUCUAAAAAACUUAACUGUACACUUAACUUAACCCUCCACUGCCAAAAAUCAUGAUUUUCUAACUUCGAAGGCAAGUUAUUAAGUCCCCAACCACUAAUCUAUUAAAAUCUUAGUUUUCACUGAUAUGAAAUGGUUGUCGAAAUAUUAUAUUGUAACACAUUAAAACAUUAUGACUAUAAAUGAUA